rfam:Brevibacillus panacihumi W25 genomic scaffold Scaffold1, whole genome shotgun sequence.
GGUACCUUUAAUUCAGUCCAGAGAGGCUGACAAGGACAGCGGAAAAAAUGAUCAUUGCUUUGGGUAGCCUGUGCGAAGGAUAUCCCAUGUUCAUUUAUGUAGAAAAAGCUUCUUGUCAGGUAAUUGGCAAGAAGCUUUUUCAU